GACGAACGCUGGCGGCGUGCCUAAUACAUGCAAGUCGAGCGGAAGUUGAAGAGCUUGCUCUUCAACUUUAGCGGCGGACGGGUGAGUAACACGUGGGCAACCUGCCCUGCAGAUCGGGAUAACUCCGGGAAACCGGUGCUAAUACCGAAUAGUUUUGGGUCCCUCCUGGGACCUAACGGAAAGACGGUUUCGGCUGUCACUGCAGGAUGAGCCCGCGGCGCAUUCGCUAGUUGGUGGGGUAACGGCCCACCAAGGCGACGAUGCGUAGCCGACCUGAGAGGGUGAUCGGCCACACUGGGACUGAGACACGGCCCAGACUCCUACGGGAGGCAGCAGUAGGGAAUCUUCCGCAAUGGACGCAAGUCUGACGGAGCAACGCCGCGUGAGUGAUGAAGGUUUUCGGAUCGUAAAACUCUGUUGCGAGGGAAGAAACCGUGCCAAUUAACUACUGGCACCUUGACGGUACCUCGCCAGAAAGCCACGGCUAACUACGUGCCAGCCGCCGCGGUAA
rnacentral:rRNA from 1 species